rnacentral:rRNA from 1 species
CGCGAAUGGCUCAUUACAACAGCCUCAGUUUAUUAGAAAAUCGUUAUCCUACUUGGAUAACUGUGGCAAUUCUAGAGCUAAUACAUGCGAAAAAGCCCGGACCUUUGAAUAGAAGGAAUGGGCGCAUUUAUUAGAAUAAAAACCAAUCGAGUUUGGUAAAACAGACCUGUCGUUUGGUGAAUCUGAAUAACUUAGCCGAUCGCACGGUCCUAGCACCGGCGACGUAUCUUCCAAAUGUCUGCCUUAUCAACUUUCGAUGGUAGGUUAUACGCCUACCAUGGUAGUAACGGGUAAUGGAGAAUAAGGGUUCGACUCCGGAGAGGGAGCCUGAGAAAUGGCUACCACAUCCAAGGAAGGCAGCAGGCGCGCAAAUUACCCACUUCCAGAACGGAGAGGUAGUGACGAAAAAUAACGAGACAGUCCUCUUCGAGGUCUGUCAUCGGAAUGGGUACGAUUUAUACACUCUAACGAGGAUCUAUUGGAGGGCAAGUCUGGUGCCAGCAGCCGCGGUAAUUCCAGCU